AGAACACUCCAUGCUUCAUGUAACUAUUAGGAUGGAUUGGGAUUGCCCUAAGACCCAAGCUUUUCUUUUUUUCAUUUUAGUUCUGUUUGUUUAUAUGUGCCUCUGUCCUCCUGCUUUUCUGCACCCACUGCUUGUCAUGGCUCUGCUGGUCUCAGAGGAACUAAUUGGCCAUGGCAUUUCCUGCCUUAGUCAUCAGGCAUUUACUUCUUAGUUCUUCACAGCCUCCUGGCAGGAACUGGGAAGGUAAAUCUUCGAUUCUAAGCACCGCCCUGAGAACUCAUAGGUUAAAGUCUUGGAUACCAGCUGAUGAGACUCCCACUUCACCACUGGAUUCACCCAUUGGUGCUUUCAGAAUAUUUCCUUGUUGGCUCCAGAGUGAGGAGAAACACAGAUUAUAACCAGCAUAACUUGUUUGCAUACUGACUACAAAGAUGAAAACAGUGGUUUUCAAAACCCAUAGAGAUUUCAACUUAUGUAACUUCUGAAACUUGUAUUGCCUUGAGAGAUGCUGCCUCUCCAGGAUGGGAUAUAAGGGAAUGUCCAAGCAUUUCCAAAGAAGCAAAGCUUUCUGUGCAUGGUAUCUUUCAUUUUAAGGAUACAGGAGGAGUCUUGAGUUUUGAAGCAUUUAUUGGAUGGCUGCUCUGAAAUCUGCCAGGAAAUGGAAAUAAAGACAUAAAUCAAUGGUC